GAGCAGCAUGUCGAGUCUGACGGAGCACGCCGCGUGAGUGAUGAAGGCUUUCGGGUCGUAAAACUCUGUUGUUAGGGAAGAACAAGUACGAGAGUAACUGCUCGUACCUUGACGGUACCUAACCAGAAAGCCACGGCUAACUACGUGCCAGCAGCCGCGGUAAUACGUAGGUGGCAAGCGUUAUCCGGAAUUAUUGGGCGUAAAGCGCGCGCAGGCGGUUUCUUAAGUCUGAUGUGAAAGCCCACGGCUCAACCGUGGAGGGUCAUUGGAAACUGGGGAACUUGAGUGCAGAAGAGAAAAGCGGAAUUCCACGUGUAGCGGUGAAAUGCGUAGAGAUGUGGAGGAACACCAGUGGCGAAGGCGGCUUUUUGGUCUGUAACUGACGCUGAGGCGCGAAAGCGUGGGGAGCAAACAGGAUUAGAUACCCUGGUAGUCCACGCCGUAAACGAUGAGUGCUAAGUGUUAGAGGGUUUCCGCCCUUUAGUGCUGCAGCUAACGCAUUAAGCACUCCGCCUGGGGAGUACGGUCGCAAGACUGAAACUCAAAUGUUUUGUGACCGGGGA
rnacentral:rRNA from 2 species